UUCUCCCCCAGAGCCUUCUAUUCUAGAAAGUCAACUGCUCCCUUCCGGUCUGCAUUAACAGCGUUAAGAAGCCGCCGGUGGGCAUCGAGUUUUACCCCAAUCCAUAAUUCUUAGCACCAACUCCUCCCUCUAUACAAAGAAGGGCACCCCCCGCCUCCCUGAACCAGAAUCUCAGGGAGUGCCCUUUUGGAAAACUUUCUCUUUCCUCCUGCGCCAGGAGGCUCCUCACCCUGACAUCUCACCUCGCUAAACUUUCCUCCACCCUCCCCCUCUUGUCUUCUUUCCCUAGCCCACUCAGCUCCCUCCAGCUUCCUAUUAAGUCCCCCUUUCUCCCCGAAAUCCUUUCUUUCUCUGACCUGGCCAUCCCUACCACCCCCCCCCCACCCGACUCCCUCUGACGUCUAGCUACUCUACGUGCUACAAAAGCUACACUCGCUCCCCUCCUGCUCUAUGCCUUCCCACAGCCAGGAAGAGCAAUUUAUAUAGGGUUAGAGCCGCAUCACUGAGUUGACGUUCAUCGGGACGAUUCCUCCGCGGCCUCCGAAAAAGAGUUCCUCUAGGGCCUUUGGCCUUGGCUUCUCUUUCCAAACCCUCCCGAAUUCAAAGUCGAAACAUUGGGGUUCGGGGUGGAGGGGGCCCCGCACCCACUCCACCGCACUGUACCCCUGAAGGUCUUACAGUUCUCCGAUACAGACGCAAACUUAAGGAAAAUUACUGGAAAUGUUUUUGAUAGGGUCUCACGUUUCCAGGUGAAGAAGCCCCUGGCCUGAAGGUCACCGAGAGCAGUCCUCUCCAGGUCUAAAACUGUGCUCAGUGGUUGCCUCACCACCUAUGGCUUGUCUGAAGACAGGGGCCUAGGACCUGCUCCAAAGAAGGAGGUACAGGCUGCCUGGCUGCCAAAUGUGCUGCUGAAUCCAGCAGGAGUCCCCUUAGGUGUCCUAGACUGGACCCUUCUCUGCCCCACAGCUGCCCCUUCGGCCUGAGUCCAGGCCUGGCCUUCCAAGGCUAUCUGCCUGCUCCGCCCUCCCUCCUGCUAUCCCUCAGUCCAGAAGGGCCUGAAUCUCCCAGCAUUCCGUGAUAUCGGUUCUGACCUUGUUUCCUCUUUACCUGUUCCGUGCUUGGACGCUAUGCUGAGCACCAGGGGCACAAAGAUAGAAGACGGUGCCUGCCCUCAGGAAGCCUGAAGUCCAAGGGAGAAAUGAGAGAUCCCCUGAUAACAAGAGUAUCUACAAAUCAUAACGAGGGUUGGCCAGACCAGUGACAUGCCCCGAGGUCUUCAGCAGGGCCUGGCCGGCUCCCAUGGUGACCAAGGACACAGACUUCCUUCUGGGCACUAAGACCUUAUACUCCUAGAGCAAGAUAUUGGAGGGGAAGAUGAAGAUGAUUCUAGCUCUCUUGGAGACUGGAAAGAAGUUGAUCCUUGCAGGCCCCUGGAGCCUGCCUCUCUCCGUGUCCCUCCUCCUGCAGAGCUCCUCGUCUUCA